AGCAAGCCCAAGAGGAUCAGUGGUUUAGACCACAGUACCACCUACAUCCAUAAGUGAGUGGAGAGGAACUACCAGCCAAUUUGCAGAAGCUUCUCUCGGUGAUUACCUGAGACCCAUCCUUUUCCAGCUCUUUACCUGCAUGGAUAGGCAGAGGAGAGGGAAGCGUCACUUACUCAAUUUUGGUCUGUCACAGAGCUGUUGAAGGACCACAAGCUUUGCCAGAAAAGUGUAACAAUAGGGGUGUUGAUUCAUUGGAAGCCUAGAUUGUGAUUGAAAUUCAUUCGUAUUUUAAAGAAGAAAAAGAAGAAGAAGAAGAGGAAGAAGAGGUUACACUAACAUUGUCAGUGCCUAAUAAGUCAUUAUUGUGCUUGGCAGAAGAAAAGCAAAUUACAACAGUUUAAUUGAAAACCUUAAGAGGUAAAAGAGAAGAAGACUGUUAACACAAUUUCAGCAAGACUCAAACAUCUCCUUUCUACCAAAGAACAAGUACUACAAAGGAGAGAAAUAGAUUUAAAAAUAAUCAUUAAUUGAGGUAAACUUGGCACAAAGAUGGCAGAAUUCUAAUUAACUUGCAACCUUUCCUAUCAUAACAUUCGGUUAGAGAGAUGGCACUGUUCUAUUUCCCCUUGUAAGCUAAUAUGUAGCUGAAGUAUAAAUUGACACUCCACAGCAUACAUAAAUUUUCUUUAUUCUGAACCAAAUUUAAUUUCUGCUAUGCUAUUUCUGGCAUCCUGAAAACAUCCAGUUGCCCCACCUGAACUUGACAUUUCCUACUUAGCUUGAGUUAAUUGGCUGUAGAGUGGGAAAAUCGUGUUAAUUGGGUCUGCGUCAUUGAAGAAAACAGUUCUAGAACAGGCCCACCUUACAAAGGGCUAUUGUAAAGUGCC